rnacentral:rRNA from 1 species
CCUACGAGUGGCUGCAGUGGGGAAUAUUGCACAAUGGGCGCAAACCUGAUGCAGCCAUGCCGCGUGUGUGAAGAAGGCCUUCGGGUUGUAAAGCACUUUCAGCGGGGAGGGAGGCGUUAAGGUUAAUAACCUUGGCGAUUGACGUUACCCGCAGAAGAAGCACCGGCUAACUCCGUGCCAGCAGCCGCGGUAAUACGGAGGGUGCAAGCGUUAAUCGGAAUUACUGGGCGUAAAGCGCACGCAGGCGGUCUGUCAAGUCGGAUGUGAAAUCCCCGGGCUCAACCUGGGAACUGCAUUCGAAACUGGCAGGCUAGAGUCUUGUAGAGGGGGGUAGAAUUCCAGGUGUAGCGGUGAAAUGCGUAGAGAUCUGGAGGAAUACCGGUGGCGAAGGCGGCCCCCUGGACAAAGACUGACGCUCAGGCGCGAAAGCGUGGGGAGCAAACAGGAUUAGAUACCCGAGUAGUC